rnacentral:lncRNA from 1 species
GGGGGCGACAGUAGCUCAGGAGGUAGAGCGGGUUGACUGGCAACCAGAAGGUCGCUAGUUUGAUCCCCGGCUCCUCCUAGCUGAGUGCAGAGGAGUGUAAAUGCAAAUGUAAGUAGGCUUAGCAGACAGACGCCCGGCUGUACUGUUUCCUCAAAGGUGGUGAUUUGUAAAUCAAACAUUGGAAAGGCCGGAGUCAAACACGGUCAAACGUGUUCAUAAAUGUUGAUCUUGACGUGCGGUGCGAAAUCCAAGCGUGGCGUUGGGGCAUGUUUGGGCCUUCAGAACACUGACCACUGCUCCCCCUGUUGGCAGACUGGAGGAGUGCAACACCCUGAUGGAACUGCUGAAGAAGUUCCAGGGUUGCCGCGGUUACGUGAGCAGCACCAUGCAGAAGGCGGAGCAGGUGAUGGGAGAGCAGGCGUCCUACAUGGGCAAGGAAAACCUGCAGAGGCUCAUCGCCAAGGUCCACGACAUCAAGGAGGACCUGCGGGGCGUGGGCGUGCGUAUGGAGGAGGUCCGGUUUGUCUCCAGGCAGCUGACGGCCCACCUCAAGAAUAUGCCCGACUGCAGUGAGGCCCCGUUCGAGGCCGAGUCCGACGUGCUGAUGGACGGCUGGCUGGACGUAAGGCCCCGGGAACUCCCCGAUUAGGGCUCCUCCUGUUUCUGUAGCUCGCUCCAUGGUCCAACCUGGUCUGGUCUAGCCUUGGAGGGUCUAGUGAGUCUAACCUGGCCUGGUUGGGUCCAGCCUAGUCUAAAUUAGCCUGGAAUAACCUGAUGUAACCUGUUCUAACCUGGUCUGGUCUAACCUGGUCUGGUCUAACCUGGGAGGGUCUAGCCUGGUCUAAACUGGUCUAACAUGGUCUGGUCUAACCUGGUCUAACCUGCCCUGGUCUAACCUGGUCUAACAUGGUCUGGUCUAGCCUGGUCUAACCUGGUCUGGUCUAAUCUGGUGUAACCUGGUCUAACCUGGCCUGGUCUAACCUGGUCGAACCUGGCCUGGUCUGGUGUAACCUGGUCUCAUCUAGGCUAGUGUAACCAGGACUAGUCGGUCUAACCUGAUCUGGUCUAACCUGGUCUGGUCUAACCCGGUGUAACCUGGUCUAACCUGGUCUGGUCUAACCUGGUGUAACCUGGUCUGGUCUAACCUGGUCUGGUCUAACCUGUUGUAACCUGGUCUAACCUGGUCUGGUCUAACCUGCUCUGGUCUAACCUGGUCUAACCUGGUCUGGUCUAACCUGGUCUGGUCUAACCUUGUCUAACCUGGUGUGCUGUUCCAGGUGACGGAGAAGAGCGAGUCGUACAUGGACAACCUGCAGGUGGCGCUGGAGCAGUGGGAGAGGCAGCUGGGGCUGGGGGCGGAGGUGGAGGCCUGGGCGGCGGCCAAGCUGGCCGUGUUCGCAGAGAGCCACCCCUUCCACAGCGAGCAGCAGGUCCUGGACAUGAGGGUACGGACCCCACAAACACACAGGCGCACACACACACACACACACAAACACACACGUACAGGUGCUUACGCACACAAAC